UUUCUGUAAUCUGGCAAGCUAGGGACGUGCUGGUUGAUGGUGGCGAUUCAUGCUUGUUCUUAAUUUGAGAGCAGCUAACGUUCUCACAUAAUCACAAAAUUCCAGGACACAGACUGAACAAAAAAGCAAAAAAGAACAACAACAACAAGAAAAAAGCCUCAAUCCACCCAGUAAUAUAACCCCAUGAUAAAACGCUAGGAACAAGCCAGCUACAGCCUCUCCGGAUCUUUUUCUCUCUCCCUCAUUUUGCCCUGUGAGGGACUAGGUUGUCCCCUUUCUCCUGUCUUUGCUGAGGCUGGGACUCGACCCCCUGGCUGUGUCAGAUAAAGUUGGAAGCUGUGGGUCCCUGGGGACAGGCCACCCCCCAGCCUGAGGGGACUGUCCCUUCUUGUCCAUCUCUUGAGAGUGGCAGAAGGGCUGGAGGCAGCGUGCCCGAGGCUGUGCUCCACAUCUGCGAGGCAGAGGGAAGAGCACAAAGAACACUCCUCAGCCUCCCCUCAGGGUGUUGGCAGUAACUCCCUGUCCUCGGGGCUGGGUUUAAACUCUGGGCAGUCCCAAGCAACAAAGGACAGUUGUAAAAGCAAGGAAAAAGGUUUUCUGGAGCAAGGCCCAAAAUAAAAAGCAUUUUCUAGGCAUUACAGUACAUAUGUUUUUCAGCCCAGGCACAGAUACGUGCGCUCCCCUCCCACACAUCUGACUCUCAUUUCAGGCUGUAGUGUUUUAUCUGAGGGCGAGAGGCUGACUUUGGGAACAACGCCCAGACGCAGAGCCAAAAGAACUUCAUUGGCAGGUCUCUGAAAGAUUUUGUUUGUUUGUUUUCUUUCUGCUUUGGAGCCAUUUCUUACCCUCCAUGGCCAUCCCGUGGCAGCCUGCAGCUCCGAGGAAACCCGACCAGCUCAGCGAGACUGUGAUUCAGUCCCAAAGCUUCUGACUUGUUAGCUUCUUAGGAUAGCGUCAUCAUCCUGCACUGCAUGCCAAGAUUGUUUUGCACAGCUUUACAUUUUCACUCCUCAAAGCAAAAGGCAGCAGACAGACAGUGCAAAGGCUGAGACACUCCCCUCAUACCACGCAUUGCAUCCGGAGGGGAAGGGACGCGUGGGUUUUGCAAACCCGAGUCUGCCCUGCCAAAUUCAAGCUGCCUUUACAGUUGGGUAAGCAGAGCCGUGGAAGAGCUGGUGAGAGUCAGGAGCUGCCCCAGGUCUCAGAAACCCCACUGCAAGAGCAGGAACACACCUUAAAAUUCUACCUGGGAAAUCACCAGUUGCUAACUGAGUCCCUACAGGAGAAACAAUGGUGCCCCAGAGCCCACGCUGCACCACCUGCUGGACGCACCUACUAAUGCCUCGCUCUCAGGCAAAGGCAGCUAAAAAUUCACAAAAUCACCCCAAGAAAUAUCUCCUCCGGGUAUUUAGGGCAGGUUUUAAAAUCAGAGGGAAUCAGCGUGAGGUAAAGUGGAUUCCACCUGACCCAUCUGAAUUAGCAUCUCCUGACUCAGCCCAGCUGAGAGACAAUGCUGUGAGUGCAGCAGCUGCGAAUCCAUGUUUUAAAUGACACCCUCUUCUAGGCCAAAAAUUUAAAUGGAAAGCAGUAUCACAGCUGGAUUAACAGUUUUUUCCCUCAGAUUUCUGAACUGGGGACAAAAUUCCUGUUAUUUGUUUGGUGUGUAAGUCUUGUGACUUUGUCUGGCAUAAAACAGGGUUUGGGAUUUACCCUGUAAUUCCUGCUUUAGUUCUGUAAUUUCUUUCUGAACUAUCACUUCUAUUGAAAAUGAAUAAAUAAAUAAAUAAAUCCAGUCUUUAUGUAAAGAAUCAGUCUGCAAAAAGCUUCAAGCAUGGAUACAAGUAGUAGAGCAGAACCUCACUACUCACUGAUACAAAUGACUGAUCUAACUGAACACUAACCUGCAGCUUCUAUUGCUGCUCCUGCCCCCAUUCCUCCUGGAAAAUUGUUUGAGUUCAGUACAUAUACUCUAGAAUUAUUCUUUUUCAUUUUGUCUUUUAGGGAAAAAAAAAAGAAAAAAGAAAAGGGAAAACCAAACCAAAACAAAACCACCUAAUUUGCAAUAAAGAAGCUCAAUAGAAUAGCUGAAAAACAUUUACCUUCACAGAAAAUCAGUACCACACCACUGUAAUAUGAAUUUUCACUCAU